rnacentral:tRNA from 1 species
GCGCGAUUAGCUCAGUGGUAGAGCGUUCGCUUCACAUGCGAAAGGUCGCUGGUCCGAUCCCAGCAUCGCGCACCA